UACGAAGGGGGCUAGCGUUGCUCGGAAUCACUGGGCGUAAAGGGUGCGUAGGCGGGUCUUUAAGUCAGGGGUGAAAUCCUGGAGCUCAACUCCAGAACUGCCUUCGAUACUGGGAAGCUCGAGUUCGGGAGAGGUGAGUGGAACUGCGAGUGUAGAGGUGAAAUUCGUAGAUAUUAGGAAGAACACCAGUGGCGAAGGCGGCUCACUGGAUCGGUACUGACGCUGAGGUGCGAAAGCGUGGGGAGCAAACAGG
rnacentral:rRNA from 1 species